rnacentral:tRNA from 1 species
UCCCUGGUGGCUCAGAGGGUAAAGCGUCUGCCUGCAAUGCAGGAGACCUGGGUUCGAUCCUGGGUCAGGAAG